GCGCUGACCUCACUUUGGUGUUGGGGAGUCGGUGGUCCUUCUUCCAUUUCAUGCGACGGUUUUGGAACCAGAUUUUGAUCUGCCUCUCAGAGAGGCACAGCGAGUGGGCGAUCUCGAUCCUUCUCCUUCGGGUCAGAACGGAGCUCCUCGGCGCCUUAUUCUCUCCUCUAUGUGCCUUUCCUUCUCUCACCCUGCUCAAAGAGGCCCAGUUUGCUCAGCCCAAAAUCUCCCCUGUAAUAAACCCUGUGGCCUCAAGCCUCCUUCCAAGCCUCAGUCUGUCACCGGAGUCAUCCUAAAGGGCUGCUUCGGGACGACUCUGUCUCCGAGUGUUUAAAUCUUUCGGCUCCCUUUUUGUAUUCCCGAGUCCUCCCGAGAUGUGCCAGCGGCAGGCGCGGGGCCGGGGCCCUGGGCCCGCCUCGCUUUACACUCCAAGGAAAUGGCCAGGCCACACCGUCCUGGGCGCGCCCGCCGAGGCUGCGAAGACGUGAUCCUGCCCUCCCGCCUGAGAGUCACUUUGUGCUGCGCGACCCUCCCCAUUUGAGCUGUUCCCUGGAGCCUGGCCUGAGAGCCCGGCUCUGGGUUUGUGUUUCUAUCUACCCCCAAGAAAGUGUGAAAAAGUCUGAGCUGAUCCUGGAGGAAGCAGCAUGCGGCUCGGACUCGCAGCCCUUUGCCUAGUGAACACCUGGGCUCAGCGCUGGCGUGCGAACAGCAUCCCAGGGAAGCAAAUCCGACUACAAACGACUCCAGGCGCCCUUGGGACCGUAGGCCCUGAGGUCCCGGCUGCGGACCCCAACAUGCAUCAGGCGAUGGGGUCCUAUUGUUAUCCCACAGCCAGAAGGCCACUCUACUUGGCCGCCCCAGAAGCAGGAAGCGUCCUUUCAGGGUGGUUUCAGUCACCCAAGCCCCAGGACCGCGGUCCAGCCUCUUCCACUGCAGGCGCUGCAGAGAGGAGGGGGUCAGGACGCCUCUCAUGUGGAAGUUCAGCGAAUCUCGGGUUGGUCACAAUCCUUUUCCUGCCCUCCUGCUCUACGAAGCCGCAGUUCCUCACUUCCCAUCCCUUCUGCACAGUAACGUCGCCUGGUAAAUAAGAGUCCGUCUGCUUGGCUAUUAGGAUUCUGGAGACGUUGGCAUCUGUAGCAAUCAUUAGUCAAAGCCGCAGAAGCCAAAGCAGCCGAGGAGUUGGACAGAAAAAAUCUUGGAAAUGAUAUACAGGAGCUGAGGAGGCAUCAAUCCCGCCGAUAAGAGCGCGGCUGCCGCGAGCAGGCGGCCAGCUUAAUUGGGCCCUGGGCACCAAGAACAACGCGGGAGGGGAGCUUAGGGUUGUACAGUGACCUGGCAUCAUUUGGGCACCUACAAAAAUAUUUAGGACUUAAACACAUUUCCUCCCAAGUUUAAAAAA